rnacentral:rRNA from 1 species
AACGAGACCUUAACCUGCUAAAUAGUCCGGCCGGCUUUUGCUGGUCGCAGACUUCUUAGAGGGACUGUCAGCGUCUAGCUGACGGAAGUUUGAGGCAAUAACAGGUCUGUGAUGCCCUUAGAUGUUCUGGGCCGCACGCGCGC